AUUCCCCUUCUUUCCCCCUCGUGCAAAGGGUCCUUGUGCAAGAGGGUGUGUGCAAGGGCCCCCUGGUGCAAGGCUGCAUGGUGUAUGAGCCCUUGUGCAAUGGAUCCUCGUGCAAGGGGUUGUGCAAGGAUUGCUUUCACAAGGAUCCUUGUGCAAAGGCUCCUCGUUCGAGGUGGCAUGUUGCAAAUUCUCGUGCAAAUUGUCCACAUGCAGGGACCCUUGUGCAACAUGCCCUUGUGCAAAGGCUCCUGGUCCAACGGGAACUUGUACAAGGGAUAUUUGUGCAAAGGUCUCACAGUGCAAGGGAUCAUUGUGCAAAGUACUUGGAUGAGAGGUUCUUGUACAAGGGACUCCAGUGCAAGGGGCACUUGUGCAAGGGAUCACAGGGGCUCUUUACACAAUUGAGUCAUUUGGAUGCACCAAUGAUUGCACUGCAGCACGGGUGCUCUUGUGCAGAUCCUUGUGCAAAGGGUUCUCAUGAAAAGGAUCCUUGUGCAAGCAAUUGUUGCCCAGUUGCCAUUAUGAAUCAGAUCCUCGUGCAAAUAAUCCUUGUGCAAAUGACCCUCAUACAAACAGCCCCAGUGCAAAGGGUCAUAGUGUAGAGAAUCCUAGUGCAAAGGAUCUCUGUGCAACCAUUGUAGGAUUGCUCUUGUGCCAUGGGUCUUAGUGCAAGCAAUCAUUGCACAAUGACUCUUGUGCAAUGGGUCCUCAUUCAAGCAAUCAUUUCCUGAGUGCUCUUGUGCAAUAGGUCCUUGUGCAAAGAGUCCUUGUGUAAUUUGUCUUCAUGCAAAGGGUCAGUGUGCAAUGGAUCCCAGUGCAAACGAUCCCGAUGCAACCAUUGCACGGCUGCUCUUGUGUGACGGAUCCUUGUGCGAGCGACCCUUGCACAACGGCUCUCGUGCAACGGGUCACCACGCAACCCGUCAUGGCGUGCACGCUCUUGUGCAAGGGACCCCCGUGCAGCCAACCCUUGCACUGCGGCUCUCGUGCGACGGGCCCUCGUGCAAAGCCCUGGUGCACACACAGGUGCGAGACGCGUACCGCCGCUGCCUGUGCCCCGGCUCCGGCCGCUACACCGAGUUCUCCACCAGUGCCACCAGUGCCACCAGUACCACGCGGGUUCACCACCAGCGCUAGUGAGCAGCGCUGGCGCCGCCGUGCAAAGCUCGCGCACCGGCACCGAGCACGGCCCUGCACGCUGCUCCCAGUUCCCCCCAGUGCUCCCAGUUCCCCCUCCCAGUUCAUCCCCAGUGCUCCCAGUUCCCACCAGUGCCCCCCCCAACACCUCCCAGUGCUCCCAGUUCCC
rnacentral:lncRNA from 1 species